AAAAGAAUUUCUGCUUACAUUGUUGAUAUUAUGCAAUUUGAUUAAGAGGAUCAUGGACUGAAAUAAUGAUACAACGUGUCAAAUUCUAUCAAGGGGGAGACGUGUUUGAUGUUUCUUGUAUAUUGAAAUAAAAAAAUGUAUAUAUAGUGUUGACCUCUUUAGUCCAGUCAGUCCUUUUUAUUAAAUUUUAAGGCAUAAUGCUGUUUCUGAGACUCCUUCAAGAUGUCAUAUCAACUAUUAUAAUUUAGGAAGAGAAUGCUAGUAUUAGUUAGGCAAAACAAGUUGCCCAAAGGGUUUUAGAUACAGGAAAAACAGGACUCCUUCAAUAUAUAUCCCCUCUUGCAUUGCUGUCAUCCAUUCUGCAAUGCCCCUGACUGUGCCCUUGUCAUAGGAUUCAAAUGGUCUGUUUUUCAUACUAUUCGUUGAAUUAGAUUUCAGUGUCUCUUGCCUGAGGGGGCAGUGUGUUUGCACGUAAGCUUAUGCGGAUUAAAUGUACAAGGGACUGAACACUACCUUGGAUUUCAGAGUGGAGGGGAUCAUCUUAUAGAAUCUCUUUACUUGAUAAGGUAGUGGCUGUUUUAUACAACAUACCCCUAGGUUGCUGCUUGUCCGAAUUUCGGUAGCCUAAAUGAUUUUUGAACUUUCUGUACUGCAUAACUGCAUGUUAGUAAUUGUGAGCUUCUGGCAAACCUUUAUACUUGUGAUGCUUCUAACAUGAACAUGGUGGGAGCAAGAAACAAAUCAUGUAUCUAGUUAGCAUUUUGCUGUUUGAUGAAAAAUGGAAAACUAUUUAUGUCUCAAGUAAGUUCUCUCCUUAAUGCUUCUGACUAUGAGCAUAAUGAAAGCUUAAAAUCA
rnacentral:sRNA from 10 species